CUGAAAUUCAGCUGGAAGCCUGGCUCCUCGUUUGUCAUAAAGCCUGCUGUUGGUGAUAGCUGACAAAGACCCUAAUGCGGAAUGGGUUGAGGUUCCCUUACUGACCUCACCUUUGUUUCUGUCUGCGAACAAGAGCCUUGAAACACACCAGAAUGCUUUAAGUUUUUCAGGAAAACUCAUGAUCUACCUUUGAUGUGUUGACAUGUGAGAAACAGCUCUGAGACCUAUCAGCUGACAACUGCUACACCAGCAGAUAAUACUUAGUCACACUUUACAAAGGCACUUCAGUUUGCAAUUCCUGGUCUAAGAUUGAGCUUGGUUGAGAAAAGAAGGGAAAAAGAAAAAGACAAAGAGGAAGACAAAGAAGGGAAAAAGGAAGAGGAGGCAGAGGAAGAAGAAAUUUGCACCUCUCCCUGAAAUGAGGGGAAGGACUCGGUCAGUGUGAAAGGAUAUCCGUGUUAUGGAGGAAGCAAGCUUUGUAUCCAGAAAAGAAUGGUUCCUCUACCAGUCCACCCCAAAAUUUCUGGCAUGUUUUGUGACUAAGAAAAUGGCUCCCGCAGAGUCUGUAAACAAUUUUGGUUUUUCUUUUUCAGGAAUAGAAAAUCACUGGAGAAUAGAAA
rnacentral:lncRNA from 1 species